rnacentral:piRNA from 1 species
UAUCGAAGAAAAGGGCUCCUGUCGGAAU